rnacentral:rRNA from 1 species
UACAGAGGGGGCAAGCGUUGUUCGGAAUUACUGGGCGUAAAGGGCGCGUAGGCGCCUUCUAAGUCGAACGUGAAAUCCCCGGGCUCAACCCGGGAACUGCGUCCGAUACUGGAAGGCUUGAAUCCGGGAGAGGGAUGUGGAAUUCCAGGUGUAGCGGUGAAAUGCGUAGAUAUCGGAAGGAACAUCAGUGGCGAAAGCGACUUCCUGGACCAGUACCGACGUUCAGGCACGAAAGCGUGGGGAGCAAACAGG